rnacentral:rRNA from 1 species
UACGUAGGGUGCGAGCGUUGCCCGGAUUUACUGGGCGUAAAGGGCGCGUAGGCGGGAUGGCAAGUCGGUCGUGAAAUCCUUCGGCUCAACCGAAGAACGUCGAUCGAUACUGCUGUUCUUGAGGGUUGCAGAGGAGACUGGAAUUCCCGGUGUAGCGGUGAAAUGUGUAGAGAUCGGGAGGAACACCGGUGGCGAAGGCGGGUCUCUGGGCAAUUCCUGACGCUGAGGCGCGAAAGCGUGGGGAGCAAACGGG